GAUGAACGCUUGCUACAGGCUUAACACAUGCAAGUCGAGGGGUAACGAGAGGAAAGCUUGCUUUCCUUGUCGACGACCGGCGCACGGGUGAGUAACGCGUAUCCAACCUGCCCCCAACUAAGGAAUAACCUUGCGAAAGUAAGACUAAUACCUUAUAAUUUCCUCAGAUGACAUCUGACGAGGAAUAAAGAUUUAUCGGUUGUGGAUGGGGAUGCGUCUGAUUAGCUUGUUGGCGGGGUAACGGCCCACCAAGGCAACGAUCAGUAGGGGUUCUGAGAGGAAGGUCCCCAACAUUGGAACGGAGACACGGUCCAAACUCCUACGGGAGGCAGCAGUGAGGAAUAUUGGUCAAUGGGCGAAAGCCUGAACCAGCCAAGUAGCGUGCAGGAUGACGGCCCUAUGGGUUGUAAACUGCUUUUAUACAGGAAUAAAGUUAGCCACGUGUGGUUAUUUGUAGGUACUGUAUGAAUAAGGACCGGCUAAUUCCGUGCCAGCAGCCGCCGUAA
rnacentral:rRNA from 1 species